rnacentral:rRNA from 1 species
GAUGAACGCUGGCGGCGUGCCUAAUACAUGCAAGUCGAGCGAACAGACGAGGAGCUUGCUCCUCUGACGUUAGCGGCGGACGGGUGAGUAACACGUGGAUAACCUACCUAUAAGACUGGGAUAACUUCGGGAAACCGGAGCUAAUACCGGAUAAUAUAUUGAACCGCAUGGUUCAAUAGUGAAAGACGGUUUUGCUGUCACUUAUAGAUGGAUCCGCGCCGCAUUAGCUAGUUGGUAAGGUAACGGCUUACCAAGGCAACGAUGCGUAGCCGACCUGAGAGGGUGAUCGGCCCCACUGGAACUGAGACACGGUCCAGACUCCUACGGGAGGCAGCAGUAGGGAAUCUUCCGCAGUGGGCGAAAGCCUGACGGAGCAACGCCGCGUGAGUGAUGAAGGUCUUCGGAUCGUAAAACUCUGUUAUUAGGGAAGAACAAAUGUGUAAGUAACUAUGCACGUCUUGACGGUACCUAAUCAGAAAGCCACGGCUAACUACGU